rnacentral:ncRNA from 1 species
CGGGGACAUGCAGGCUCCCCAUUAGACGGCCGCUUCCGUCCAAGCUCUGC